AAUUUUACAAAAGUUGUAUCUUUCAAACUAAUCUAAUGAUUUAAACAUCUCAAUUUCAUCUCAAAAUUUACGUUAUAACCAAUACUAUUAAAACUAGUACCUAUCACCUAUCAAUAAAGAAACUAAAUUAAUACUUCUGCAACUAGCAACAAGUAUUGGCCAUCAUCACAUGGAUAUUUUGGAACAACAGAACAUAAAAGAGUGGAAGACCAAACACAUCACAAGACAUUACAUUAUACACCACACCUCCUAAUUAAUUAUGAAAAAAUUGUCUUGAUUAUUGUGAAAUAUCCCCGAGUUCAAUCACUGUCUCUCCUUCGUCUACAUAAAAUAGAGAACAUCAGAAUAUUAGUAUAUGAAAUCAAGUACCAUAUCAAAAUUGUCUAAAAUACAAGAAGAUGCCAUACCCUUGUACAUGUAGGGGAGUCUCACAUCCUAGCUCAAUUCCUAGAAUGCGAUUUAUAAUAUGUUGGACAAUAAUAACAA
rnacentral:lncRNA from 1 species